rnacentral:rRNA from 1 species
GAUGAACGCUGGCUACAGGCUUAACACAUGCAAGUCGAGGGGAAACGGCAUUGAGUGCUUGCACUGAAUGGACGUCGACCGGCGCACGGGUGAGUAACGCGUAUCCAACCUUCCCGUUACUGCGGGAUAACCUGCCGAAAGGCAGACUAAUACCGCAUGUUCUUCGAUGACGGCAUCAGAUUCGAAGCAAAGAUCCGUCGGUAACGGAGGGGGAUGCGUCUGAUUAGCUAGUUGGCGGGGCGACGGCCCACCAAGGCGACGAUCAGUAGGGGUUCUGAGAGGAAGGUCCCCCACAUUGGAACUGAGACACGGUCCAAACUCCUACGGGAGGCAGCAGUGAGGAAUAUUGGUCAAUGGGCGGAAGCCUGAACCAGCCAAGUAGCGUGCAGGAGGACGGCCCUACGGGUUGUAAACUGCUUUUAUGCGGGGAUAAAGUGAGGGACGCGUCCCUUUUUGCAGGUACC